rnacentral:rRNA from 1 species
GACGUAGGGCGCGAGCGUUGUCCGGAUUUAUUGGGCGUAAAGAGCUCGUAGGCGGCUCGUCGCGUCGACCGUGAAAACAGGCAGCUCAACUGUGUGCUUGCGGUCGUACGGGCGGGCUAGAGUUCGGUAGGGGAGACUGGAAUUCCUGGUGUAGCGGUGAAAUGCGCAGAUAUCAGGAGGAACACCGGUGGCGAAGGCGGGGUCUCUGGGGCCCGAUACUGACUGGAGGGAGCGAAAAGCGUGGGGAGCGAACAGG